AGCGAACGCUGGCGGCGUGCCUAACACAUGCAAGUCGAACGUGAACGGGGGCAACCCUUAGUAAAGUGGCGUACGGGUGAGUAACACGUAGAUAAUCUACCCAAGAGUCUGGAAUAACCUGCCGAAAGGCGGGCUAAUACUGGAUAGAGCGACGGAACUCGUAAAGAGUUUUUCGGGAAAGGGAGCUCGCAAGAGCCCUCGCUUUUGGAUGAGUCUGCGUCCCAUUAGCUAGUUGGUGGGGUAAUGGCCUACCAAGGCAGUGAUGGGUAGCUGGUCUGAGAGGAUGAUCAGCCACACUGGAACUGAAACACGGUCCAGACUCCUACGGGAGGCAGCAGUGGGGAAUCUUGCGCAAUGGACGAAAGUCUGACGCAGCCACGCCGCGUGAGUGAAGAAGGCCUUCGGGUUGUAAAGCUCUGUCGGGAGGGACGAAAAUGGUCGGUGUUAACAGCGCCGAUCACUGACGGUACCUCCAAAGGAAGCACCGGCUAACUUCGUGCCAGCCGCCGCCGUAAAAC
rnacentral:rRNA from 1 species